GACCAGUGACGUUCACCGCCGGACGAGGGAGCCGUACCCGGACGACGACAAGACGGCCACGAA
rnacentral:ncRNA from 1 species